CUACUUUUUAUCCUUUCGAUGUAAAAGAAGAUAGCUGGUCGGAAUUUUGGAGAAGAUGAUGUUCAACAUAAUUAUCACAGGGUGAGCUUUCUUCUGGGUUUGUAAAUUAGAAGGAUCCGUGAAUUAUGCUUAUAUGUUUCAGAAUAGUGAUUUUUAUUCAUGUGGCGAAGUAUGAAAUAGGCAGAGCUGGCCCAAAGACCAGGAGAGUUUGGGAUCUCCGGUUCAAACCUUAGUCGACAGCUCUGGAAACAGGUGUUGUAGUGAUGGCUCGCAGUUCUUUACUGUGAAGGGUUGGAAGGAGAACGUGUGGUGUUGGGUAAGGUAAUAUAAGGAAUGAACAAUGUAUUCACCAUUUAAGGUGGAGAUAGGAAAUUACGGUUGCAAACCCAGAAAGAUAUUUGUUAUUAUAUUGUUGAUUGUAAAGAGAGUCCUAAAGACAAAUGGGAUGAAGAAAGAUGACAAAGACCACAUAAAAUACACAUCACUUCAAAUAUGAUAGUUUGUCUCUGUUAUCUUCUUUCUAUUUAUAAUAUAGCACAUGCGAUAGUAUGAAUUUUAAACUCAAUGUCAAUGUAAUUAGUGUUAGUGUCAAAAGCUGGAAGCAUCUAUAGCUUUCCACUUAAAAAUUUUCUCCAAAGUUUCCAUGCAGACUUUAUUUAUAUGAU